rnacentral:rRNA from 1 species
UACGAAGGGGGCUAGCGUUGCUCGGAAUUACUGGGCGUAAAGCGCACGUAGGCGGAUCGUUAAGUCGGGGGUGAAAUCCUGGAGCUCAACUCCAGAACUGCCUUCGAUACUGGCGAUCUCGAGUUCGGGAGAGGUGAGUGGAACUGCGAGUGUAGAGGUGAAAUUCGUAGAUAUUCGCAAGAACACCAGUGGCGAAGGCGGCUCACUGGCCCAUUACUGACGCUGAGGCACGAAAGCGUGGGGAGCAAACAGG